rnacentral:rRNA from 1 species
GACGAACGCUGGCGGCGUGCUUAACACAUGCAAGUCGAACGGAAAGGCCUCUUUCGGGGGGUACUCGAGUGGCGAACGGGUGAGUAACACGUGAGUAACCUGCCCUUGACUUUGGGAUAACUUCAGGAAACUGGGGCUAAUACCGGAUAGGAGCUCCUGCUGCAUGGUGGGGGUUGGAAAGUUUCGGCGGUGGGGGGUGGACUCGCGGCUUAUCAGCUUGUUGGUGGGGUAGUGGCUUACCAAGGCUUUGACGGGUAGCCGGCCUGAGAGGGUGACCGGCCACAUUGGGACUGAGAUACGGCCCAGACUCCUACGGGAGGCAGCAGUGGGGAAUAUUGCACAAUGGGUGGAAGCCUGAUGCAGCAACGCCGUGUGCGGGAUGACGGCCUUCGGGUUGUAAACCGCUUUCGCUCAUGACGAAGCUUUGUGUGACGGUAGUGGGUAAAGAAGCACCGGCUAACUACGUG